rnacentral:rRNA from 1 species
AUUGAACGCUGGCGGCAGGCCUAACACAUGCAAGUCGAACGAGUGGCGGACGGGUGAGUAAUGUCUGGGAAACUGCCUGAUGGAGGGGGAUAACUACUGGAAACGGUAGCUAAUACCGCAUACCAUCAGAUGUGCCCAAAUGGGAUUAGCUUGCUGGUGGGGUAACGGCUCACCAAGGCGACGAUCCCUAGCUGGUCUGAGAGGAAGACCAGCCACGCUAGAACUGAGACACGGUCCAGACUCCAACGGGAGGCAGCGGAAGAGAAUAUUGCACAAUGGGCGCAAGCCUGAUGCAGCCAUGCCGCAUGUAUGAAAAAGGCCUUCAAGUUGUAAAGUACUUUCAACAAGGAGGCGUUACCCGCAGAAGAAGCACCGGCUAACUCCGUGCCAGCAGCCGCGGUAAUUC